rnacentral:rRNA from 1 species
UACGUAGGGACCAAGCGUUGUUCGGAUUUACUGGGCGUAAAGGGCGCGUAGGCGGUCAGCACAAGUCAGUUGUGAAAUCUCCGGGCUUAACUCGGAAAGGUCAACUGAUACUGUGCGACUAGAGUGCGGAAGGGGCAACUGGAAUUCUCGGUGUAGCGGUGAAAUGCGUAGAUAUCGAGAGGAACACCUGCGGCGAAGGCGGGUUGCUGGGCUGACACUGACGCUGAAGCGCGAAAGCCAGGGGAGCGAACAGG